GGCACUUUGCCGGAGUGGUUAACGGGUUGGCCUGCUACUUACUCUUCGGGUGCUUACGUAAGCCAAUGCACUUUGUGCGCCAGAGUUCGAAUCUCUGAGGUGUCG